CCUUAGGGCUUCUUUUGUGCUGGGACCUGAGGAGGAGAAGAGCUUGGAGAGGAGCUUGUGGCUGAGGAGAUCUCCCACCCCACUUGGAUUGGAGCUAAGUUUGGAGCUUCUUAAGAGGGCUUUUAAAGCUAGAUUGAGUGGAUUAGAGGCUUCCAUUGGGUUAGAUUGGAUGAACUUUAGCCCUCUUUUGGAGCAUUGGAGAGGGUUUUUGCAC